GUGGUUCUGUGCUUUUGGCUUAUGCAAAAGAUAUUUUGAAUUCUGGGGACAUUCUGGGCAGCCAAGUGGUGUCUUUCCAUAGUCGUAGGACUGUUUGGGUUAGCUGGAGUCCUCCUAUGGCGGAUUGGUCUAAAAUCAACACUGAUGGUUCUUUUCUUGCUGCCUUCUCUGCUGCUUCUGCAGGUGGGUUGAUUCGUUCGCAUACAGGAAAUUGGAUUGGAGGUUUUUCUGCUAAUCUUGGCACCUGUUCAAUUAAUAUGGCG
rnacentral:misc_RNA from 1 species